UACGGAGGGGGCUAGCGUUGUUCGGAAUUACUGGGCGUAAAGCGCGCGUAGGCGGAUCUGCAAGUCGGGGGUGAAAUCCCGAGGCUCAACCUCGGAACUGCCUUUGAUACUGCAAAUCUCGAGUCCGGAAGAGGUGAGUGGAAUUCCUAGUGUAGAGGUGAAAUUCGUAGAUAUUAGGAAGAACACCAGUGGCGAAGGCGGCUCACUGGUCCGGUACUGACGCUGAGGUGCGAAAGCGUGGGGAGCAAACAGG
rnacentral:rRNA from 1 species